rnacentral:rRNA from 1 species
GACGAACGUUGGCGGCGUGCUUAAUACAUGCAAGUCAACUGAAGCAGUGGUAGCAAUAUCGCUGUGGAGGUGGCGCAUGGGUGAGUAACACGUAGGUAAUCUGCCUUCAGGUCUGGCAUAACUCCGGGAAACCGGGGCUAAUAGCAGAUGAUGCAGCGGCUCGACAUCGAGACAGUUGUUAAAGCUAUGGCGCCUGAAGAUGAGCCUGCGUCUGAUUAGCUAGUUGGCGGGGUAACGGCCCACCAAGGCAACGAUCAGUAGCUGGUCUGAGAGGAUGAUCAGCCACACUGGAACUGAGACACGGUCCAGACUCCUACGGGAGGCAGCAGUAAGGAAUAUUGCUCAAUGGGAGAAAUCCUGAAGCAGCAACGCCGCGUGAGGGACGAAGGGCUUUUGCUUGUAAACCUCUGUAGUGAGAGAAAAAAAUCCCAAUCUUUGGGACAUGAUGGUAUCUCAAAAGUAAGCCCCGGCUAACUACGUG